rnacentral:lncRNA from 1 species
AUGUACUAUAGCAGGAAUUGGUUUCUUGUUUUCUCAGAUCUGCGGAAGCUCGCAGCGCUAGAAUGUUUCGACAAAGGUGACAUUGAUAUGGGUAUUCACCAUCUCGCAGAAAGUCAUGCGAUUGGAUUUCGCAGCAAAAUUGUAUCUCGUAUCAGCCAAGUCAAUGAAAUGCAAGCAGAAUUUCUUAGUCUUCCUCAUAUCUCAUUUGAUCCUGAUCUCAUAAACUUUAGUAGUAAAUAUGCAUUGAGAAACGAUAAAGGCCUCAUGGAACGUUUGCAAGAAUUACCAGAAGAAUGGACAUUGGUCCAAUUGACGCAAGGAUUUUCCUCCAAAAUUCGUUGCACCCCCAGAGAAGCAGGAACUCCGAGCUCAAAUUCUGUUUUCCAUAUCACAAGGUUUUCCUGUGGCCGGAACGCAAGGAAGCCUUGCUGUGUAACUCUACCAAAAGGAUCCAUCACAGCCGCAAAAUUAUCCUCUAUAUUUGACAUCAUCGAAAAAGCUGUCACUCCAGUGUCAUCAAAGAAAGUCACUCCCUCAAAACUGUUACGUGAAGCCUGCAUCCCUAACACGAGAAUCUUUUCCAAACUUCAGCCUCCGUCGAAAUCGACCCGUGAGGAGUAUGGUGAAGCUUUAAAGGUUUUGGUAGAUGAAAUCAAUUUGGAAUGGCUUCAACAAUGGAGAUGCAUGUUGCUGGGACAACUUUGCGCCAGUGAUCUGAGAAAAGAUAUACGGAAAACAGUUGAUGAUGUUAUAAGUAAAUCAAAAUUGCCAGAGAAUAGUGUCACCCUUUUAUAUCAAAUUAUGGAUGGCUCGGGUCAUCUAGAUUUAGGAGAAAUAAAAGCAGCUGUUUCCGAUUGCAUUCAUGAUGAAGAUACUCGCUGUGCAAUGAUUGAAGCUAUCAAAGAGUUCAAAGAAUCAAAUUUAAACUUAGCUGUAGCGAAGCGUUAUCCUGUGUUAUUAAUUUUAGAUGAGGUGAGUAAAGAAAAUAGUUAGUUUUAGUAAAAUUUUUUGUGUGUUUGUGAGAUACCAGCGGGCUGCUUUUAUUGGAAUUUCGUGUUUGUCUGGUUGGCAAAACAAGACUAGAAGAGAAUGAAGCUAUGUGAUUGGUUAACUAAGUAUACUGGAAGCCGCCGAUCUGCAGCAAGAGGCCUUCAACAGGUCGAAGAAUCGACGGGCUGUCUGCCACUGAGGAGGUGCCUUCAGCUAGUUGAUUAUUCAGCAUGCUAAAGGGCUCUUGUCAGGGAUUAUCAGCUUCCAAACCACGUAGUAGACCAAUCUUAUAGCUCCAUUCCUUCUUAGUCUUGUUCUGUCCACCUGGCAAACAUG